ACGCUCGACACCUACGGCAGGCAGCAGUGAGGAAUAUUGGUCAAUGGGCGCUAGCCUGAACCAGCCAAGUAGCGUGAAGGAUGAAGGCUCUAUGGGUCGUAAACUUCUUUUAUAUAAGAAUAAAGUGCAGUAUGUAUACUGUUUUGUAUGUAUUAUAUGAAUAAGGAUCGGCUAACUCCGUACCAGCAGCCGCGGUAAUCUGAGCGGGCUGGCAAGGC
rnacentral:rRNA from 1 species